rnacentral:rRNA from 1 species
AACGAACGCUGGCGGCAGGCCUAACACAUGCAAGUCGAACGCCCUAGCAAUAGGGAGUGGCAGACGGGGUGAGUAACACGUGGGAACCUUCCCUAUAGUACGGAAUAGCUCAGGGAAACUUGAGGUAAUACCGUAUACGCCCGAGAGGGGAAAGAUUUAUCGCUAUAGGAUGGGCCCGCGUCGGAUUAGCUAGUUGGUGAGGUAAUGGCUCACCAAGGCGACGAUCCGUAGCUGGUUUGAGAGAACGACCAGCCACACUGGGACUGAGACACGGCCCAGACUCCUACGGGAGGCAGCAGUGGGGAAUAUUGGACAAUGGGCGCAAGCCUGAUCCAGCCAUGCCGCGUGAGUGAUGAAGGCCUUAGGGUUGUAAAGCUCUUUUAGUCAGGGAAGAUAAUGACUGUACCUGCAGAAUAAGCUCCGGCUAACUUCGUGCCAGCAGCCGCGGUAAU